rnacentral:rRNA from 1 species
GAUGCCACAGUUCGAGAGCUUCGCACUGUUGUGAAGCAGGAAGGGCCCGGUCUCCUCUUCUUGAUGGAGACGAAAAUUCCAGCAAAAAGUGUAGAGAAUCUGCAAGCUACCCUAGGCUUCGCAGGAUGUUUUGCCGUGGGAAGUGCUGGCUUAAGUGGAGGUAUUGGCUUGUUCUGGUCAACCGAUCUUAUUGUUGAUCUUAAGAGCUAUAGUUCUGGCCAUAUCGAUGUUAUGGUGCAGAAAAGCGAUCUGAGCGAAGACCCCUUUCGGUUCACGGGUUUUUAUGGCGCCCCCAAAGUGUCCGACCGUCACCACAGUUGGAGGUUUCUCCGCACACUAAACGCAAUCCCACACUCGGCAUGGCUGUGCGUUGGAGACUUCAACGAGACAUUGUAUGCCUCGGAACACUUCUCACGCGCUGCUAGGCCUGAAUGGCAGAUGCGAGCGUUCCGGGAUGCCAUUGAUGAGUGCUUGUUUCAGGACCUGGGAUGGACGGGUACUGAGUACACAUGGGAUAAUGGCCAAUUGGGCGGCGAUAACAUCAGAGCUAGGUUGGACAGAGCUUUUGGAAGUCCAGACCUAAUGCAUCGAUUCAGACACUCAAGAGUGAAGCACAUUAGCACCACCGAAUCUGACCAUUGUUUCGUUCUAACAGAACUGAGGACACAUGACAAUGAGCAUUACGCAUGA